UACUGGAGCAGAGAAUCAGAGAUGGUCUCUCUCUCUCUCUCUCUCUCUCUCUCUACACUACGAAAUGGAGGGAUUCUCACAAAAACCCUAAAAGCAUCUGAAAUUCCAAACCAGUUGUAAAGAUGAAGAAGACCGAUGACGGUGGGGCCAUGGAUUUCUCCCUCUGGAGUCGACUUCCACCGGAAAUGAUCGACCACGUACUCUCUCUCCUACCGCUGAAAUCUCUCUGCCGAUUCAAGUCUGUAUCCCCCUUUUGAAAUACCCUAAUCUCUUCCCCUCAUUUCGCCCAAACCCACUUCCACAUAACCAACACCACCCACAAACCCCAAAAAACCCUUCUCAUUUCCCCCUUUCGCGCUCUCUACUCCGUCGAUUUCGUCCAAGAAAAUCCCAGCGCCAGAAAGCUUGGUUUUCCGGCAAGCAGUUCGAGAAGAAAGAAGAAAGACACGUUACACGUAUGAGUGGAUCUCGGUCUCGGGGUCUUGCAAUGGCCUCGUUCUGAUUUCUGAUCAAGACAAUUCCAAUUUCUUGUUCAACCCAUUCACUGGAGAAUGUAAGAAACUGCCCGAAUCUCCUUUUUCUCACGUAUCUUUGGAUGAGGGGGACAAGUAUCUUCUACGUGGUUUGGGUUACGACUCGUCGAUGGAUGAUUACAAGGUUCUGAUGCUCCUUUUCCUUUGCUUUGAGUUUGACUUCGAAGGUGAUACUGCUGAUGUGGCUGUGUAUUCACUGAAAACUGAUUCUUGGAGGAUAAUUCAAGUUCCAGAUUAUAUCUAUCCGGAAAGUCAUGAUGGGUUUUACUUUAAUGAGCGUCUCCAUUGGCUUUGUCUUGAUCUGUUUGUUGUUGCUUUCGAUAUGUCACGUGAGGUUUUCAGGAAAAUCAUGCUGCCUGCUUCGUAUGAUAAUUCUGGUUAUUAUUAUGAGUUUGAGGGUUAUCACAUGGAGGUUCUUGGGGGUUGUCUCUGUUUGGUUGUUCGGCCGGAUGGAAGCAACAAAACUGGAGUUUGGAUGAUGAAGAAAUACGGGGUAAGGGACUCGUGGACUAAAUUUAUGAUUGCUAAUCUGUGAUGUCUGUAGGGCGUGUGUUGUGUUUGUCAUCAGAAGGCAAACUUGUGUUGAAAUCUUAUGGACAGAUAGUAGAUGUUAACGGAGAGAUUCUAAAGGGAUGAAGUUCGGGACAACUACAUUGAGACGCUGGUUUCUCCGAAUCACAGAGGACAGAUUCUGAAAUACUGUGAAGCUUCUUUAGAUGAAAGUUCAAAGGGUUAUCAACUGACAGGGAAGGAACAUCCAGGCUCUAGUCCAGCAAAUUAACCAUGUGGAGCAAUACUCUCAACAUUUUGCAGGGGAACCAUGAUCUAGCUAGAUAUGCUCUUUAGCACUUCAUCUCCUAGCCCAUUUGAAGACACUUCUGGGGCUUGAUUCCAUCUAAAGCCUCUCUUUUUGUACUUUUGUAACUUCGGUUUCAUUUUUGGGCUAGGAGCUGCUUUAUUGUGGUAUUGUUGUUUGUUAUUCCAUGUGAAUGUUUUGUUAGUUGCUGCUGGUAGAUUUCUUCUUUGGGAUGUACUUGAACCUCUAGAUUUACUCUUAUAUCAAUGAUGUUCAUGCAUUGUCGAAAAGGAGAGAUGGUUGUUCCUUUCUAGACUACUACUCUUCAUGGAACUAUAAAUAAUGACUUGUGUUAUGGUCUUCGCA